UACGGAGGGUGCAAGCGUUAUCCGGAUUCACUGGGUUUAAAGGGUGCGUAGGUGGGUUGGUAAGUCAGUGGUGAAAUCUCCGUGCUUAACAUGGAAACUGCCAUUGAUACUACUGAUCUUGAAUUUUCUGGAGGUAAGCGGAAUAUGUCAUGUAGCGGUGAAAUGCUUAGAUAUGACAUAGAACACCAAUGGCGAAGGCAGCUUGCUACAGGGAUAUUGACACUGAGGCACGAAAGCGUGGGGAGCAAACAGG
rnacentral:rRNA from 1 species